ncrna:Canis lupus familiaris (dog) microRNA cfa-mir-8908e precursor
CUGUGUGUAGUGCCCUGCAUAGGAAGGUCCUGAUUACCAGUAUGAUGUGUAACAGUGCCUGCCUGGGUAGAGUAAUGCUCCACAA